rnacentral:sRNA from 1 species
CAGCAGCGGGAAAAGUAUUCCAAAUCCGUUUAAAGGCGGGGAUGGACGUCUGCCGCACAUGGCCAAUACUUCAGAUACCGGUGCGACAUACCCCCCCAAGUGUCGCAGCGGCCGGAGUGCCGAGGACCGCGCACUUCGCUUGACUCCUAAAGGUCUUGACCCGGCUUCUGCGCGAAACCGG